GACGAACGCUGGCGGCGUGCUUAACACAUGCAAGUCGAACGGUAAGGCCCUUCGGGGUACACGAGUGGCGAACGGGUGAGUAACACGUGGGUGAUCUGCCCUGCACUUCGGGAUAAGCCUGGGAAACUGGGUCUAAUACCGGAUAGGACCACUGCCUGCAUGGGUGGUGGUGGAAAGCUUUUGCGGUGUGGGAUGGGCCCGCGGCCUAUCAGCUUGGUGGUGGGGUGAUGGCCUACCAAGGCGACGACGGGUAGCCGGCCUGGGAGGGUGAGCGUCCACACUAGGACUGCGAGACGGCCCAGACUCCUACGGUAGGCAGCAGGGGGGAGUAUUGCACAAUGGGCGCAAGCCUGAUGCAGCGACGCCGCGUGAGGGAUGACGGCCUUCGGGUUGUAAACCUCUUUCAGCACCGACGAAGCGCAAGUGACGGUAGGUGCAGAAGAAGGACCGGCCAACUACGUGCCAGCAGCCGCCGUAA
rnacentral:rRNA from 1 species